rnacentral:tRNA from 1 species
GGUGCCGUGGUCGAGAGGCGAGGCGUUGCUCUGCAAAAGCAAUUACGGCAGUUCGAGUCUGCCCGGUACCU